rnacentral:lncRNA from 1 species
CAAAGGCUAUGAGCGUCUUGAAAAAGAGAAGCGUCUCUUUCCUCAGUAGCAUUUAUUCCUGUAGCUGAUGGAAACUUGGCCCGUGGCAGGUUCAGAGGAAAGGCAAUCAGGGGAGGACGCGCUUCCUGAAGGAAAUGCUCAGAGACACAGAGAGGUUAAGCAAUCUGCUCAGAAUCACACAGCUGUUCUCGUUCAUGGGAUGGUUGCAGAGCACCGGGAACGUGCCAGGCCCUGCCCGAGAUGUGAGAAGGAGACUAAGACUCAGGCCCCUGCCUUAAGGAACCCCUGGUUCAAGGAGGCGACAGGAACAGACCCCACGUGACCUCACAUCCCCGCUGGCUUUGCAGUUCAAGCACUUUGAGCAGUUUCUCCAGUCACAUCGUCCCUCAGCGCCAUUGGAACCUGGAGCCUGAUGCUCACUUGCUGACCGAGGUUUCCACUGAGCAGCAGGACCGAGGACCAGGUCUGGCUGGGAGUCAUCACAGCCAGGAAUUGAAGACAGGAGACGGGCUGAGGAGAGGCCCGACCACCGAGAGCAUCGUUCAGAGAAAGGGGCGGGCUGAGGUCAGGGGACCCCCACAGCCUCUCCCUGGCAGCUGGGGGCAGAGGCAGAGCUCACGGCUCUACUCCCUGGGUGAGGAAAGCCCGAGGGACCUGGAGUCACCCACCAGCCAGCCUCCAGCCAUCUGUCUCCUGGGGAACAGGAGCCUGCGGCAGCAGCUGCCUUGGCUCGUUGUCCACCAGAUCCAUUCUAGCUCCCUCUCGAGCUGUAGAAUUGAAGGUGGGCGCCUAGCGGCUCAGCCAGACUAUACUUCCCGGCCUUCUUUGCGGUUAAGUCACGUUCUCGCCAGCGGGAUGGCAGCAGAAGUGAAGUGUGGUCCAU